rnacentral:lncRNA from 1 species
CAGGUCAUUCAACAUUUAUUCAACCAAAAAUACUAAGUCAGCUCUAUACAAACUAAUGGAAGGAUACAGCUAUGCAAAUAUAGAACACUAAAGUGUUACAUGACAGAUGUAUGAGCAGAACUGGGAAGAAAGGACCCUGAAAAGUUAGCUGGUUCCAAGUGACCCUCCAAGGGGAAGAGUGCUGGAUUCAGAGCCCACCUCAGGGGAAGACAGGACCCUCUCCAAGAUGGUUUCCCUAGAAGCUACUACCUCUCCCUGGAGGGUGGAGAUAUUUGCUGGUCAAAGCAAGAAGGCCCUCUGCAGAUGCUGACACCUUGAUAUUGGACUUCCCAGAUUCCAGAACUCUGAGAAAUAAAUUUCUAUUUUAAAUAA